UACGGGGGGAGCAAGCGUUGUCCGGAUUUAUUGGGCGUAAAGAGCGUGUAGGCGGCCAGGUAGGUCUGCUGUGAAAACUCGAGGCUCAACCUCGAGAUGUCGGCGGAAACCGUCUGGCUAGAGUCCGGAAGAGGAGAGUGGAAUUCCUGGUGUAGCGGUGAAAUGCGCAGAUAUCAGGAAGAACACCUAUGGCGAAGGCAGCUCUCUGGGACGGUACUGACGCUGAGACGCGAAAGCGUGGGGAGCGAACAGG
rnacentral:rRNA from 1 species